rnacentral:misc_RNA from 1 species
GUCGAUACGUGGAAGAAACGGGUCGAAGCAGAGAUGAACAUUAUUGAUGCCAAGUCCGGUUCAAAUCAGGCUGCUACGUGGCCUUCUAAAUCUAGGUUGCCUGAGGCUUCACAUAGUAUUUCCAAAAAUCCUGGUGGUUCAAAUGAUGUGACAAAGAGUGCAGUUGCACAACUUUCUGCAUCUAGAAUGGCCUCAAUAAAGACUUCACAAGGGGAGACUACUGUAAAGUCCGCAUCCUUGUCUCCAGGCUCAACCAAACCAGCAUCAUCACCUGCAUCUGGAAAAGAGGGUCAGCACAGAGUCUCGGUUGGUGGGUCUUGUGAUGUCCCUUCAGCUAGAGAAGAUAAGAGCAGCAGUUCUAGCCAGUCUCACAACCACAGUCAGUCGAUCUCGGGGAAAGAGGAUGGAAGGAGUUCAACUGCAGUGUCAAUGAACAGCAUCAAGAUCUCUACUGGUGGUUCUCGUCACCGGAAGUCAAAUAAUGGAUAUCCUGGAUCAUCAAUAUCUGGAAGCCAAAAGGAGACUCCUGCAGGCAGAAGUUCACACAGGAAUCCUACUUCAGAAAAAUUGCCGCAAUCUGCAGUGAGUGGUGAGAAAAUUAUGGAUGUGCCAGUUCUCGAGGGGAGUGGUCACAAAUUGAAAGUUAAGAUGUCUAGCAGGGGACGCAGUCCUGCGCAG